rnacentral:rRNA from 1 species
AUUGAACGCUGGCGGCAUGCCUUACACAUGCAAGUCGAACGGUAACAGGUCUUCGGAUGCUGACGAGUGGCGAACGGGUGAGUAAUACAUCGGAACGUGCCUAGUAGUGGGGGAUAACUACUCGAAAGAGUGGCUAAUACCGCAUGAGAUCUACGGAUGAAAGCAGGGGAGCGCAAGACCUUGUGCUACUAAAGCGGCCGGUGGCAGAUUAGGUAGUUGGUGGGAUAAAAGCUUACCAAGCCGACGAUCUGUAGCUGGUCUGAGAGGACGAUCAGCCACACUGGGACUGAGACACGGCCCAGACUCCUACGGGAGGCAGCAGUGGGGAAUUUUGGACAAUGGGCGCAAACCUGAUCCAGCAAUGCCGCGUGCAGGAUGAAGGCCUUCGGGUUGUAAACUGCUUUUGUACGGAACGAAAAGCCCCGGGUUAAUACCCUGGGGUCAUGACGGUACCGUAAGAAUAAGCACCGGCUAACUACGUGCCAGCCGCCGCCGUAA